rnacentral:rRNA from 1 species
UUUGAUCCUGGCUCAGAUUGAACGCUGGCGGCAGGCCUAACACAUGCAAGUCGAGCGGCAGCGGGAAAGUAGCUUGCUACUUUUGCCGGCGAGCGGCGGACGGGUGAGUAAUGCCUGGGGAUCUGCCCAGUCGAGGGGGAUAACAGUUGGAAACGACUGCUAAUACCGCAUACGCCCUACGGGGGAAAGGAGGGGACCUUCGGGCCUUUCGCGAUUGGAUGAACCCAGGUGGGUAUUAGCUAGUUGGUGGGGUAAUGGCUCACCAAGGCGACGAUCCCUAGCUGGUCUGAGAGGAUGAUCAGCCACACUGGAACUGAGACACGGUCCAGACUCCUACGGGAGGCAGCAGUGGGGUAAUAUUGCACAAUGGGGGAAACCCUGAUGCAGCCAUGCCGCGUGUGUGAAGAAGGCCUUCGGGUUGUAAAGCACUUUCAGUCGAGGAGGAAAGGUUGAUGCCUUAAUACGUAUCAGCUGUGACGUUAUUGCAGAAGAAGCA